rnacentral:piRNA from 1 species
AUCAUGGUCCUACCGAUACGUGAUGUCACCC